rnacentral:rRNA from 1 species
UACGUAGGGUGCAAGCGUUGUCCGGAAUUAUUGGGCGUAAAGAGCUCGUAGGCGGCUUGGCAAGUCGGGUGUGAAACCUCCAGCUCAACCUGGAGACGCCACUCGAUACUGCCAUGGCUAGAGUCCGGUAGGGGACCACGGAAUUCCUGGUGUAGCGGUGAAAUGCGCAGAUAUCAGGAGGAACACCGGUGGCGAAGGCGGUGGUCUGGGCCGGCACUGACGCUGAGGAGCGAAAGCGUGGGUAGCGAACAGG